rnacentral:rRNA from 1 species
AUAAGUUUAAUCGUUUUAACGAGAAACCGCGAACGGCUCAUUACAAUGGCCAUGAUUUACUUGAUCUUGAUUAUCUAAAUGGAUAACUGUGGAAAAGCUAGAGCUAAUACAUGCACCARAGCUUUGUCCUCUCGGAAAAGCGCAUUUAUUAGAACAAAACCACGCGGCUUCGGCUGCUUCUUGUUGACUCAGAAUAACUAAGCUGACCGCAUGGCCUUGUGCCGGCGGCGUGUCUUUCAAGCGUCCACUUUAUCAACUUGACGGGAGCAUAAUCGACUCCCGUGGUGGUGACGGAUAACGGAGGAUCAGGGUUCGACUCCGGAGAAGGGGCCUGAGAAAUGGCCACUACGUCUAAGGAUGGCAGCAGGCGCGCAAAUUACCCACUCUCGGCUCGAGGAGGUAGUGACGAGAAAUAACGAGACUGUUCUCUUUGAGGCCGGUCAUCGGAAUGGGUACAAUUUAAACCCUUUAACGAGUAUCAAGCAGAGGGCAAGUCUGGUGCCAGCAGCCGCGGUAAUUCCAGCUCUGCUAAUACAUAGAAUUAUUGCUGCGGUUAAAAAGCUCGUAGUUGGAUUCGUAUCGGUACCUUGGAACCCUUCGGGUGUUUCUGGGUGUUAUCGAUUUAUCGUAAUGUUCGGUUUUGAGUCCUUAACAGGAUUUUUAACAGUCAUUGCAAGUUUACUUUGAACAAAUCAGAGUGCUUCAAACAGGCGUUUUCGCUUGAAUGAUCGUGCAUGGAAUAAUAGAAAACGAUUUCGGUUCAGUUUUAUUGGUUUUACGGACUGAGAUAAUGGUUAACAGAGACAAACGGGGGCAUUUGUAUGGCCCCGUGAGAGGUGAAAUUCUUGGACCGUGGCCRGACAAACUACAGCGAAAGCAUUUGCCAAGAAUGUCUUCAUUAAUCAAGAACGAAAGUCAGAGGUUCGAAGGCGAUCAGAUACCGCCCUAGUUCUGACCGUAAACGAUGCCAACUAGCGAUCCGCUGAUGGAAAUUAUAUUGCCUUGGUGGGGAGCUUCCCGGAAACGAAAGUCUUCCGGUUCCGGGGGAAGUAUGGUUGCAAAGCUGAAACUUAAAGGAAUUGACGGAAGGGCACCACCAGGAGUGGAGCCUGCGGCUUAAUUUGACUCAACACGGGGAAACUCACCCGGCCCGGACACUGUGAGGAUUGACAGAUUGAUAGCUUUUUCAUGAUUCAGUGGAUGGUGGUGCAUGGCCGUUCUUAGUUCGUGGAGUGAUUUGUCUGGUUUAUUCCGAUAACGAGCGAGACUCUAACCUACUAAAUAGUUGGUACAUACUCUUUGUGUAUACAGCUUCUUAGAGGGAUUUGCGGCGUUCAGCCGAAAGAAAUUGAGCAAUAACAGGUCUGUGAUGCCCUUAGAUGUCCGGGGCUGCACGCGCGCUACACUGGCAAAAUCAACGUGCUUGUCCUACCCUGAAAGGGGCGGGUAAACCAUUGAAAAUUUGCCGUGAUUGGGAUCGGAAAUUGCAAUUAUUUUCCGUGAACGAGGAAUUCCAAGUAAGUGCGAGUCAUCAGCUCGCGUUGAUUACGUCCCUGCCCUUUGUACACACCGCCCGUCGCUGCCCGGGACUGAGCCAUUUCGAGAAAUUUGGGGACCGUUGAUUUAAUUUAUCUAAAUUAUUUUGAUGGAAACCAA